rnacentral:rRNA from 1 species
GAUGAACGCUGGCGGCGUGCCUAAUACAUGCAAGUCGAGCGAACAGAUGAGGAGCUUGCUCCUCUGACGUUAGCGGCGGACGGGUGAGUAACACGUGGAUAACCUACCUAUAAGACUGGGAUAACUUCGGGAAACCGGAGCUAAUACCGGAUAAUAUAUUGAACCGCAUGGUUCAAUAGUGAAAGACGGUUUUGCUGUCACUUAUAGAUGGAUCCGCGCCGCAUUAGCUAGUUGGUAAGGUAACGGCUUACCAAGGCAACGAUGCGUAGCCGACCUGAGAGGGUGAUCGGCCACACUGGAACUGAGACACGGUCCAGACUCCUACGGGAGGCAGCAGUAGGGAAUAUUCCGCAAUGGGCGAAAGCCUGACGGAGCAACACCGCGUGAGUGAUGAAGGUCUUCGGAUCGUAAAACUCUGUUAUUAGGGAAGAACAAAUGUGUAAGUAACUAUGCACGUCUUGACGGUACCUAAUCAGAAAGCAACGGCUAACUACGUG